GGGUGGCAGCAGGAUGAGGAUUGGUGGGUGGAUGUGUAGAAGACGAUGAGAUGGAUCUUUGUGCCUCUGCACUUCGGUGGAGAAUGGCAACAGUGUCCGUCCAAACGUCGAGGACCUGCCAACAGCCAAACAAAUCAGCAGAUCGAUCUCAUUGAAACGUAUCUGCGGUGUGUGAUUUUGGAGGUAGCAGCUCAGGAUUUCAGAGGCGGCGGUGCAGCGCAUGGCAAGGCGAGGCGCAGCGGCGCUGGUGGAUUGGGGCGGCGGUGCUAGGGUCUGGGGGUGGCGGGGCCGGGAUCCAGGGGCAGGGUUGACGGGUCUGGUGGCUGGUUGCAUCUUGCAAGGUUGGCAGGCAGCGACACUGGGUGCGGCAAGGUCCAAGGCACCAGGCGACGGCGCUGGGUGUGUCGUAGCUCGAAGCGGCGGGCUGGAUGGCGCGGCGUGUGUGGUGGUAUGGCGGAUAGGAAGUGGAGGAGAUAAGGAUUUGAGGGGAAUAGGUUGAGCGGUCACGGACGCGACGACGGCGAGCGAAAAAAUUCGCUCUUCCCACGCGCCCUUGCUUCCCUGUCUCUCUGUUGCGUGGGCCAACAUCUGGGGCAGCGCGCGGGAGUCCAAUUCUAGCGCGUGGAUGGAGCAGCCCUGACGGUAGCGAGAACUUCCCGGACGGUACAGCAGGCACAUGGGGGAUGGUUCUCGGUCCCUGACGGAAGACGCGUAGCGGACGGGGAUAGUUUCGACCGACGGGAGAAAAACAAUCUCUGGUGGUGAUGGAAUUGAAGGUGGAUUGGAGGAAGCGCAAGGUCCUGCAAGAACAACAAAUCAAAGCAAUUCAAGAGGCAUUGUCACGACGUAUGUAUAUUAGCAGCAUAGAGUUCAUACAUGUGACACUAAUCAAAACAAAAAAGAAUUGAAUUGAAAAGAAACCAUAAAAUAAAAAGGAAAAAAUGGAAAAAAAAACUUUAGUACCGGUUGGAAAUGCCAACCAGGACUAAACCUACCAGCCCUAGUGCAAUGUAAGGGGGCACAUUUAGUCCCGGUUGGUAGUAGCAACCGGAACUAAAGCUCCACUUUCAGCUGGGAACCGGGACUAAAGGGGGUUUCCUAACCGGGAUUGUAGCCCUGUCCUGCACUAGUAGAGAUGGCUAAAAAGCUAAAGUGACACCAAAAAACUGUACUUUUAGAGGUGGUUUGGCUUGCCACCUGCCUCUACAAAUACAUCUACCUCUAAAAAUCAUUUGUAGAUUAGGCAAAUUUUGAAUGGGCCGCUUGUACCCAAAAGAUACGACACAUCUAAAAAUAGUUGUGUGUUAUUUUGACAAUGGUUGUACUGAUAUCACAUUACACGUGGAGCCCUCAGUCCAACCAAUAUGACUGACAUGUGUUUGUUAACCUGCAUAUUAGUCAUAAUAAACUGUGCACUAGAAAACUAUUCGGCCAGCAUGAUAGGAGAUAAUGUACCACGUAUCUGCUGCCAUUCAUGGUAGAUUGAAGCAUUUAAAUAAGCAUUAGCUGCACACACAAGGCAGGUUUUAUGUUGAUUUUAUUGUGCUUCUUGCCUGAAUAAAUAUUUGUCAACAUGAAACUUUUACAAAGUUAUUGUUCUAAAUUUCCUUUUUUCUCAUUUCAAGAGUUUUUGUGUCAUGUUCUACUUCCUGAAUGAGAGCUUAAUAAUCGCUAAAACAAAGCAAACACAUUGGUCUCAUACUUCUGGAUGACUGAUUAUGAAGGAGCACUGUUUACUAUUCCUGUUGUUGACAAGAUUAGCUUGUUACACUUGUGAUUACAUUGAAUCAUAUUAAUUUGGUCCUGUAUCUCUGCCAAUUUGUAUCUGCGGCCCAAUGUUGCCUAGGAUAGCAUAUGUGGUUAUGCCGUCUCUCUAGUUGUAAAUUGUGUGGAUAGGAUGUCAAAGGAUCACAGGCCUCUAAGAUGUGGAAGCAUAACACAAGUUGCUUAGGAUAACAGCAAUUGAACAUCAUGUGAGCAGGACGAUCUGCGCUAUUGCUAUCGGUGGUAAAGAUGGCAAGAGAGCCAAUGUCCGAGUGCAGCCUGAUCCUACCAUCCUCCAUAGGCUAGUUCACUACGGGAGAAUCGAAAUUUCCCGAGUGUCAAAGGCUUCCCCG
rnacentral:lncRNA from 1 species